UACGAAGGGGGCUAGCGUUGUUCGGAAUUACUGGGCGUAAAGAGCGUGUAGGCGGCCAUGCAGGUCAGCUGUGAAAACUCGAGGCUCAACCUCGAGAUGUCGGUUGAAACCGUAUGGCUAGAGUCCGGAAGAGGAGAGUGGAAUUCCCGGUGUAGCGGUGAAAUGCGCAGAUAUCGGGAAGAACACCUAUGGCGAAGGCAGCUCUCUGGGACGGUACUGACGCUGAGACGCGAAAGCGUGGGGAGCGAACAGG
rnacentral:rRNA from 1 species